GUAUCUCUCUUUUUCCUCUCCCAGAUGGUUGGAGAUAGCAGCUCUCCAGUUGCCGACAUAGAACGGCUCCUGUUCUUUGUUUCCACUGGUGACCGGCAGAGCGGAUGGUGGCUUUUUUCAGUAGCGUUUCCAGGGAGGUCAGAGAGCAGGGUCAGCUACAGAGCAGUGUCAGCAACACCUUGCUCCAUACACACAUUCACACCUGGUUAAGUGCCUUGUUCAAGGACUCCUCCGCAGGGUGGAUGCUUUAUCACCACGGGGACUUAA